UGAAGACCGACUGCUAACAAUUUGCAGUCUCUAACUCAUGCUAAUCACUAAUGCAUACCAUUUAAAAAUAAAUUGAAUAUCAAUUUUCAGUGCAGAAGUUAGGUAAAUUAAGUACGUUUCAUAAUCUGGCAUUUCAUAAUAUAUCACGUUUUGAUUCUCAAAUAUACAUUCACAUUUUAAAAUUCUGGAAUUUUUUUUAUUUUAUCUUCUACUAUAUCCGAUUAAUUAUUAAUUUUUAUGUCCAAAUAAUUAUCAAGUUGAUGGUUAUGUGGAAUAAAUGGAUUAAUUAUAAAUUUAUGUAUACAGGAGUCGGAGAGUAUGUUACAUG
rnacentral:misc_RNA from 1 species